ensembl:lncRNA
AUGAACCUGUCAGUCAAAGCAGCCCUGAGUUCACAGAAACAAACUCUCUCUCCCUCUCUCUCUCACACACACACAUGCACUAGAGCACGGGCGCGCGCGCACACACACUGGCCUGGCGGAACGCGCUGCUGUCGCGCAGUGAUUCUCUUCGCGUCUCCGGGACUUUUUUGCUCUCUGUUUUCUCCAGGUGAGUGAAUCUCCUCAAAUCUCUCUGAAUUCUCCUCAACAGCAGCUCGAGAUCACGGAGGAACGAUGCGUCUGUCUGUCUGUCAGAGGUGUGUGUGUGUGUGUGUGUGUGUGUGUGAGAGAGAGAGAGAGAGAGUGACCAAAACGCUGCGAUGUCAUUUUGUUGCAAAGAAAGUACUGGAGGUACCAUACACCGUAAUCAUGUAUCAUGGUAUUAAAGCACCAUAGUUUAAGUUAAGAGUCGGAUGAGUUUAUGUGCCAAAGUUGAAUUGUGGACUGUGUUCCUAUGUGUUGCAAUGUCCAAAAUACUGCAUAUAUUUCAAAUAUUUAAAUGUUUUUUUUUUUUUUUUUUUUUUUACAAAACUGCUAUGAUGUAUGCAUGCAUAAAAAAAGAAAAAUACCUGAUAUGUGCUUUAUUUGAGUCAUGAUCUGAUUAAUAAGCUUGAAUCUAUUAGUUCACACCGAUUAAAACCAUUUUUCUACUUUGCCGUAGAAAUAACUCGUAUUUUCACUUUUACCACCUUUAGUAAUGCUUAAUUUGAGAGUUACCAUGAUUCUAUAUAAUUUCCAUAUUCAUAUACUCAUAUUCCAUAUAUUCAAAAUAUAAUGAAUAAGCCUGAACUGAUCUGAAUGCAUUAGUUCACACCAAUGAAAGUCAUUUUAAGUAUCUGGUGUAGUAAAAAUAACUCAUAUUUAAACUUUUACAGUCUUUAAAUGAAGGUAAUACCACAAUACUUUGAGAAUUACCAUGAUUAUCAUAUUCAUAUGCCAUGGUACUUACACAUAAUAACCCCCCCCCCCCAAAAAAAAAUGUGGUGUUACCGUAGUAUAAACUGUCUGACAGGUGAUCUUGUAGGAAAACAUGAUUUAUGUGAUUGCAGUUUAUGAGCCACAGAUGAAUUGCAUUCCAUGUGUGUGUGUGUGUGUGUGUGUGUGUGUGUGUGUUUUAUUAAUUUAUUUGAUGACUGGUAGUUCAGCGAUUCUCUGGUGGAGCAAAAGCUUUCUGUAUAAUUGAGUUACUGUCCCUGCGUCUGGCGCCACAGAAUGACUACAAAAGAGAGAGUGUGUGUGUGUGUGUGUGUGUGUGUGUGUGUGUGUGUGUGUGUUCAGGUCAGGGUUUGUGCGCAGUAAUUAUAAUUACCUUGUUUUAAAUACACUGGCAGUUUAACUGGAAGUCCCUGAAGGAUGCGUGCACACGCUCCUGUCUGUGUGUUUGUGUGUUCUGCUGUAAGAGCUGGAAACAGGACCUGUGAGAGACACUCGCUGUCCGGCGCUGAUAAGACGGACCUCAGAACCCAGAGCCGAAGCCCGAGUCCGAGCCCAGCAGAAUAAACCUGUUAGAGCCACGCGUGACGCCA